UCGUAAUGUCCUAUUCCAGUGCGUCAUGUGCGAGAGGAUCGUUGGGCCCAGCGGAGCACGACGGCACGCGACCACGGAAACCUCUUCUUCCUCUCUUUCCCUUUCUCCUUUUCAUUCGAGCUCGAACAUUGUCUGUUUGAUUCGAACAGCUUGGAUGUAAGACAGUGAUCACCGCUUGUAAAGGAUUUAUCGCUGGUAACGGGAAGAUAAUAACUGUAUGAUUAUCUUAAGUAUCAUCCACUGUUUCGUUCCGUCUUCCGUAUUUUCAUCGCUAUCAAGCUAUCGUUACAAGAUACGCAAUUUACAUUCUUCACACUCCUCUCUAACAUUUUGUAAAUGCAAACG